rnacentral:lncRNA from 1 species
UUGUAUAUGCCUUUGGCACCUAUCCUCUUACGUGUCAUAAAUCUGGAAUGUCUUCUGACACGUGGAUUAUUGUUGUUGGGUAAAAUCUCCUCUGAUAUGUCUUGUGUUUGUCUUAGUUAAUAUGCUUCUUGCUUGUUUGUUUAUGUAUUUCUAUUUUCAAAAUCACUUUACAUAUCAGAUACACCCAUUAUCUCUCUUUCAC